rnacentral:lncRNA from 1 species
AAGCAUAAAACUGACUAGUGACAAGAAAGAACUAAUCCAACACCAAAGGCCAGAAACUGAAAUUUUGCAUAUUCGGACUAUCAAUAGGACAUUGGUGUAAUGUUUAAUAAUUAAAUUGGAAAGUUUAAUAAAAUUAAUAGAUUUUUCAUAUUUUUAAUAAGGGUACAAUUGGGAAACUAAAUAAAAUUUGUUUUUCAUUUCUACUCAAAACAAACAUGGGAAAAGAAAUAAAGUGAUAUUUCCAGUUUACUUUCUCGAUUUACCAAACAUGAGAAAGGAAUGACUAUUUCUCAUUCCUUGAGAAAUCACAUAGAAAAGGAUUUCCCAUUAAAUUUAUUCUGUAAAUCAAACGGAGCCUAAAAAGUUGAUCAUAGAUGUCCCCGUCAGAAAGCACCAAACAACCAAAUAUUCCUGCACAUGCCAAUUCCACCUUAAUGCAUUAAAUAAUGUCAAUAAAAGCCAUUGCAAUUUCCACAGUUGCCUGACAAGCAUACCUUAUGAAUAUUUAAUCAAUGCAGUCAACAACAAGGUGGCUGCCACCAAUUAAGCCAUCCAUAAAGCUGACUGAUAUUGUCAAUCACAACAGCAGAUAGAGAAGAAUUAUUGCUGCCAAUCAACACCAUUUACACCUUUUCACUCCACUAACGAGGGAUUACCAACAAAUUUGACAAACCGAAAACAUGUUUCUCACUCUCAAAUGAGAAAUAAACAUAGGUUGGAGCUUUACAUUAUUUACAAUGUGAAUAUCAUAUUAAUGAAUAAUUUAUCCAGUGAUUUCAAAGAUCUACCAAAAAAAAGUUGUAGGUAACAGCACAGAAUCAAAUGACGUAAUUUACCUACCCUAAGAAUGAUACCCAACAGCAUAGAAAGUCAGAUUCGCAAAAAAAAUAAUUGUGAAUUGGACAUAACUAUAAUCCAAGAAUAUAUUAAAAAAAAGGGUUGCAGGUAAAUUAUUGGUAUGAAGCGUUUUAUCAUUGGUCUGAAGCAUUUACAUCAAAAACAAUAUAUUAGGCGUAAUUUUUUGUUCAGGCAUGAAAAUACAAUUGGUUUGAAAUAUGCUUGACUAGCUUCAGCAUUUGAUUAGCCUUACUCCUAAAUUGGUGCUAAGCAUCAAAUGACUACACAUGAAAAAAAAAGAAGCAAACAGAAUAACUCCUUUAGUAGUAACAACACAUAUAAAAGAAUGAUACCCAACAGCUCAUAAUCGAAGCAUGUAAUUUACCUAUCCCGCAAGCAUGACCCCAUCAUGUACUCACCCAUACCCAUUUGUAGAAACUACUAGGACCUUAUCUACUUACAUCUCCUCUAUGCAUGGAAAAACAACAUCAAAAUUCACUCGUGCGCUCAUAGCUCAUAUUGGAAUUUCGUCAAACACUUGAUGUGCGCAACUUAAAAUAGACCCAACUUUUUGCUGGAAAAACAACCGACUAUGCAAGAUAGAAAACAACCGACUAUUCAGCGUCUUUGUAGCAGUUUUAUUUCUUGUUCUUGGCACUGGGUCCCUCGAGGGGCAAACCGAGCAGCGGAUGCUGCAGCUCAGCGAGCUAGGCGGAGGAUGUGCGAUGAAGUUUGGGCUUCCAGCCCCCCAUCCUCUCUGGUUUUUGUGUUGCAAGCUGAUGGUCUUCCUUGCCCCCCGCGGUGCUAGGGAGUUUUGUGCUGGAGGCGGAUGGGCUCCCCUUUUGGAGGCGUCAUAGUUACUGGUCUCUAGCCUUGUUUCUUCUAGCAGUUGUGCGUUUUCUUGCUGUUGCUGUUGUUGUUUCCUUCUCUUUCUACCUUUGGUUUUUUGUCUGUUUCUCCCCUUGUUGUCUGUCUUUCGUGUUUGAAUGAAAGUUUCUAUUGACCAAAAAAAAAAAAAAAUGCAAGAUAGAAAACAACGUUAAUGUGAAAAUGAAAACAUAACUGGAAAAAAAAAAUUUGAAACUGAUUGCUACACAAAUUUAUACCAAUACAGAUAAUGAAUGGUACUGAUAAGAACGCAUGAUUUGGGGUAGAUGAAAAUGCAUAAUUUGGGAUAGAUAGAUGAAAAGCUGAUAAGAACGGAGACAAUAACACAUAAAUUACAUGUGUUAUGCAGGCAUACCAGUCAAAGUUUAAGACGUCGGCGCUGGAAUCGUUCGCAGUUAGUGUCGUCUUCAUUUUGUGACUAGUUUGAAAAAUUGAAUGUACCUAUGGACCCUAAUUUUGAAUGGCAGAGACAUUGGAGGCAAUCUAACCUUAGCGAAUAUGUGGUUUUCAAUGAUGGACAUGAAGCAAGGCUGAAAUGGAGGUAUACUAUUUUGAAGAGAAUGUAACAGUCGGACUGAGUGAUCUUUUGUAAUGAUGUAAAAACAUAAGAAUAUUAUGACCUUUU